GGAUGAAGAACGCAGCGAAAUGCGAUAAGUAAUGUGAAUUGCAGAAUUCAGUGAAUCAUCGAAUCUUUGAACGCACAUUGCGCCCAUUAGUAUUCUAGUGGGCAUGCCUGUUCGAGCGUCAUUACAACCCUUAAGCCCUAGUUGCUUAGCGUUGGGAGCCUUACGCCGUAGGCGUAAACUCCUCAAAGUUAUUGGCAGAGUUACGACAUACUCUAAGCGUAGUAAUAUUUUCUCGCUUCUGAAAGUGUCGUGGCAAUCGCCAUAAGCCUCUAUAUUUCUAGUGGUUGACCUCGGAUCAGGUAGGAAUACCCGCUGAACUUAAGCAUAUCAAUAAGCGGAGGA
rnacentral:misc_RNA from 1 species